rnacentral:tRNA from 1 species
AUUAACAUAGCAUACAAAAAUGCAGAAAACUUAAGAUUUUCAGAAGUACUGUUAAAA